GCUGCCGUGGUGCAACUGGUUAGCGCGUGCGGCUGUUAGACAUGGUCAGCAGCACACCGCCAGGUUGGUGGUUCAAGUCCACACGGUAGCG